AACGCGAAGAACCUUACCUACCCUUGACAUGCCACUAACGAAGCAGAGAUGCAUUAGGUGCCCGAAAGGGAAAGUGGACACAGGUGCUGCAUGGCUGUCGUCAGCUCGUGUCGUGAGAUGUUGGGUUAAGUCCCGCAACGAGCGCAACCCUUGUCAUUAGUUGCUACGGAUAGAGCACUCUAAUGAGACUGCUGGUGAUAAACCGGAGGAAGGUGGGGAUGACGUCAAGUCCUCAUGGCCCUUAUGGGUAGGGCUUCACACGUCAUACAAUGGUCGGUACAGAGGGUCGCCAACCCGUGAGGGGGAGCUAAUCUCACAAAGCCGAUCGUAGUCCGGAUUGUAGUCUGCAACUCGACUACAUGAAGUCGGAAUCGCUAGUAAUCGCAGAUCAGCAUACUGCGGUGAAUACGUUCCCGGGUCUUGUACACACCG
rnacentral:rRNA from 1 species